UCUGAACCUUCGGGGGACGAUAACGGCGUCUAGCGGUGGACGGGUGAGUAAUGCCUAGGAAAUUGCCCUGAUGUGGGGGAUAACCAUUGGAAACGAUGGCUAAUACCGCAUGAUGCCUACGGGCCAAAUAGGGGGACCUUCGGGCCUCUCGCGUCAGGAUAUGCCUAGGUGGGAUUAGCUAGUUGGUGAGGUAAGGGCUCACCAAGGCGACGAUCCCUAGCUGGUCUGAGAGGAUGAUCAGCCACACUGGAACUGAGACACGGUCCAGACUCCUACGGGAGGCAGCAGUGGGGAAUAUUGCACAAUGGGCGCAAGCCUGAUGCAGCCAUGCCGCGUGUGUGAAGAAGGCCUUCGGGUUGUAAAGCACUUUCAGUCGUGAGGAAGGUAGUGUAGUUAAUAGCUGCAUUAUUUGACGUUAGCGACAGAAGAAGCACCGGCUAACUCCGUGCCAGCAGCCGCGGUAAUACGGAGGGUGCGAGCGUUAAUCGGAAUUACUGGGCGUAACGUAAAAGCGCAUGCAGGUGGUUUGUUAAGUCAGAUGUGAAAGCCCGGGGCUCAACCUCGGAAUAGCAUUUGAAACUGGCAGACUAGAGUACUGUAGAGGGGGGUAGAAUUUCAGGUGUAGCGGUGAAAUGCGUAGAGAUCUGAGAAAGGAAUACCGGUGGCGAAGGCGGCCCCCUGGACAGAUACUGACACUCAGAUGCGAAAGCGUGGGGAGCAAACCAGGAUAGGAUUAGAUACCCUGGUAGUCCAUAACGCCGUAAACGAUGUCUACUUGGAGGUUGUGGCCUUGAGCCGUGGCUUUCGGAGCUAACGCGUUAAGUAGACCGCCUGGGGAGUACGGUCGCAAGAUUAAAACUCAAAUGAAUUGACGGGGGCCCGCACAAGCGGUGGAGCAUGUGGUUUAAUUCGAUGCAACGCGAAGAACCUUACCUACUCUUGACAUCCAGAGAACUUUCCAGAGAUGGAUUGGUGCCUUCGGGAACUCUGAGACAGGUGCUGCAUGGCUGUCGUCAGCUCGUGUUGUGAAAUGUUGGGUUAAGUCCCGCAACGAGCGCAACCCUUAUCCUUGUUUGCCAGCGAGUAAUGUCGGGAACUCCAGGGAGACUGCCGGUGAUAAACCGGAGGAAGGUGGGGACGACGUCAAGUCAUCAUGGCGAUAAACCUUACGAGUAGGGCUACACACGUGCUACAAUGGCGCAUACAGAGGGCGGCCAACUUGCGAAAGUGAGCGAAUCCCAAAAAGUGCGUCGUAGUCCGGAUUGGAGUCUGCAACUCGACUCCAUGAAGUCGGAAUCGCUAGUAUCGUGGAUCAGAAUGCCACGGUGAGGAAUACGUUCCCGGGCCUUGUACACCCGCCGUCACACCAUGGGAGUGGGCCCUUGCAAAGAGUAGUAGUCAUUUACCUUCGGGGGA
rnacentral:rRNA from 1 species